AAAAACCUGAAAUGUUCGACACCCCUGCUAUUUUGAACCUACAAUACUUUAAACGGGAUUCCUAUAUUUCUGUAAUAUGUCAGGCCUCCGUUGCAGUGGAAGACAAAAAAGCAGAUGCGGUUGCCCACCUAGCUUUGGCUAGGAGUCAAAAUACAGGACCGGCAUUUUGGGGAAACU
rnacentral:other from 1 species